rnacentral:misc_RNA from 1 species
ACAACCCAAUAAAUUAAAAUUGAAAGAACCCUAAAAUUUAUAUAUGGAAGGGAGGGGAAGGGAAGGAAAAGGUAGCAUGAAGAGAAGUAGAAAGCACGCAGGAAACUUGCAGCAGUGGAAGGAAUCGAUUAUAGUCUAUAAAUUAUGAUAUUGUCACUUUUCUGGUAUGUUGUAUAAACCGGUGUCUAUUAUGCACUUCAUUCUGGUGUAGGUUCCACUUGGCUUCCAUUUCUUGAUUUUCUUGUAGCUGUCUGCACACCAACUCUACAGUACAGAUGGCCACCUCCUGUCCUGUAAUAGCCAACUAAUGCUCUGUUCGGAGGGGUGAGG